rnacentral:rRNA from 1 species
CCAUACUCCUACGGGAGGCAGCAGCAGGGAAUAUUGCACAAUGGACGGAAGUCUGAUGCAGCGACGCCGCGUGGAUGAAGAAGGCCCUCGGGUUGUAAAAUCCUUUACAGGGGGAAGAGGAAGGACGGUACCCCUGGAACAAGUGUCGGCUAACUACGUGCCAGCAGCCGCGGUAAGACGUAGGACACAAGCGUUAUCCGGAUUUACUGGGCGUAAAGCGUCUGCAGGCGGACAGGUAAGUUGGGCGUGAAAGCUCCGGGCCCAACCCGGAGAGGUCGUUCAAUACUGCGUGUCUAGAGGGUGUCAGAGGGGAGUGGAAUUUCCGGAGUAGCGGUAAAAUGCGCAGAGAUCGGAAAGAACACCAAUGGCGAAGGCAGCUCCCUGGGGCAACCCUGACGCUAAGAGACGAAAGCUAGGGGAGCGAACAGGAUUAGAGACCCUGGUAGUCCUAGCCCUAAACGAUGGAUGCUGGAUGUGGGGCCAUAGCGCUCCGUGUCGAAGCGAACGCGUUAAGCAUCCCGCCUGGGGACUACGGCCGCAAGGUUAAAACUCAAACGAAUUGACGGGACCCCGCACAAGCAGCGGAGCGUGUGGUUUAAUUCGAUGCUACACGAAGAACCUUACCUGGGUUUGACAUCUAGGUGGUAGUGAAGCGAAAGCGGAGCGACCCUUCGGGGAGCCUAGACAGGUGCUGCAUGGCUGUCGUCAGCUCGUGCCGUGAGGUGUCGGGUUAAGUCCCGUAACGAGCGCAACCCUUGCCCUCCGUUAUACGUGUCAGAGGGGACUGCCGGCGGUAAGCCGGAGGAAGGUGGGGAUGACGUCAAGUCAGCAUGGCCUUUAUAUCCAGGGCUACACACACGCUACAAUGGUCAGUACAAAGGGCAGCGAAGCCGCGAGGUGGAGCGAAUCCCAGCAAAGCUGGUCGUAGUUCGGAUUGCAGGCUGCAACCCGCCUGCAUGAAGCUGGAGUUGCUAGUAACCGCGCGUCAGCCAUAGUGCGGUGAAUACGUUCCCGGGGUUUGUACACACCGCCCGUCACGUCAUGGGAGUCGAUAACGCCUGAAGCCGGUGGCCUAGCUCGGAAGAGAGGGCGCUGUCUAAG